rnacentral:tRNA from 4 species
GGGCUAUUAGCUCAGUGGUAGAGCGCGCCCCUGAUAAUGGGCGAGGUCUCUGGUUCAAAUCCAGGAUGGCCCA